CCAAGAGUAAGCUAUGUGAGGUUGAUGGCGAUGCUUAAAAGCAAUCGACUUACAAGGGUGUGGAAAUGGACUCGACAUUGAAUCGAGAGAAGUGUGAUUUUAAUAGUUUAAAGUGAUUUUGAAUGGAUGAUGAAAUUAAAAUAAACCAACUUUGUGUUAUCAAAUAAUAACUAAACUAUGAGUAUAAGAGAAAUUAUAAUGAAACAUAAACAAAAUAAACAGCUAUAUAUGGGUAUCGAACCCACUACCCAAAGGGAGGUGAGACCACUUCCCCUCCACUAGGCCACCGAUGGUCACUUGUAAUCCUAACAACGACCCAAUUAUAUAACCAAAGAAACAAAUGAAAUAAAAUAAAUAAAGAAAAAAAGGUCAGCAUGGGCCACAAACACUUGGGCCGAAUGAACACCCAAUAGCCUCUCGGACUGUCUGGGUUUAUUUGUUUUGUUAAAGAAAUCGAAGCCCAACAACAUGACAAAUCAAGUAAAAAUAAUAAACCCAAAACUGGAUUUGUUUGAGC
rnacentral:lncRNA from 1 species